rnacentral:lncRNA from 1 species
GGAGGAGAGGGAGCUCGGGGUGCAGCCCCACGGUUCGUAUCCCCAUCCCCCCACCAACACCCAGUGCGGUGGGCAGCCCCGCAGGUGAUCUGACGCACCAGCAGGUGCUGCCCCCUGUGCCCCCUCUGGUGGGGUGUGAGCACCACCGGAACAGGGGACUGCUGUGCCUGGGUUGCUGCCUGGCACCCAGCGGUCGCUCAGGACCCCGAGGAGGGCAGGGUGGGCCCAGGAGCUGGACGCAGCAGGUCGGGGUCCCUGGGUGGGCAAAGUGGGCGCUGGUGCUGCUUGAGGGGAGUGGCUCCUGCCCAGCAUGGCAGUUCUGGCUUCAGGGGUGUGGCAGUGUCCCCUCCCUUCUCUUUAGCUAUACAUGGGUUUGGGGAUUGAGGAAGGGCCACCCACAAGCUGGCCCCGAGUACAGGGACUGUAGGGUGCGGCCCUCGGGAAGCCCCUCGCAGUGCCAGCCACAAACCAGGAGAACGGGUUCGUCUGCCUGGCUGGAGGCCCUGGGAGCCGCACUCCACCCGUCUGUGGCAGACCCAGGACCUGGAGAGAUGGAGUUUCACCAUGUUGCCCAGGCUGGUCUGAAACUCCUCAGUUGAGCAAUCCACCUGCCUUGGCCUCCCAAAGUUCUGGGAUGACAGGAGUGAGGCACUGCGCUGGGCUCAUGCAUUUUUGAGGAAAUACCUAUGCAGCACACGGCCGGCAGCACCACAGUGUCUCAGCUGUCUUUCCAGGAAAGUCCUGCUCCCCACUAUACUGUGG